AACGAACGCUGGCGGCAGGCUUAACACAUGCAAGUCGAGCGCCUCGCAAGGGGAGCGGCAGACGGGUGAGUAACGCGUGGGAAACUACCCUUUGGUACGGAAUAACACAGAGAAAUUUGUGCUAAUACCGUAUGUGCCCUUCGGGGGAAAGACUUAUCGCCAUAGGAUGUGCCCGCGUAGGAUUAGCUAGUUGGUGUGGUAAUGGCGCACCAAGGCGACGAUCCUUAGCUGGUCUGAGAGGAUGAUCAGCCACACUGGGACUGAGACACGGCCCAGACUCCUACGGGAGGCAGCAGUGGGGAAUAUUGGACAAUGGGCGCAAGCCUGAUCCAGCCAUGCCGCGUGAGUGAUGAAGGCCUUAGGGUUGUAAAGCUCUUUCACCCACGACGAUAAUGACGGUAGUGGGAGAAGAAGCCCCGGCUAACUUCGUGCCAGCAGCCGCAGUAA
rnacentral:rRNA from 1 species